rnacentral:rRNA from 1 species
CCUACGGGACGCAGCAGGGGGGAAUAUUGCACAAUGGGGGAAACCCUGAUGCAGCGACGCCGCGUGAGUGAAGAAGUAUUUCGGUAUGUAAAGCUCUAUCAGCAGGGAAGAAAAUGACGGUACCUGACUAAGAAGCCCCGGCUAACUACGUGCCAGCAGCCGCGGUAAUACGUAGGGGGCAAGCGUUAUCCGGAUUUACUGGGUGUAAAGGGAGCGUAGGCGGCAAGGUAAGCCAGAAGUGAAAGCCCGGUGCCCAACCCCGGGACUGCUCUUGGAACUGCGUGGCUGGAGUGC